GACGAACGCUGGCGGCGUGCUUAACACAUGCAAGUCGAACGGAAAGGCCCUGCUUUUGUGGGGUGCUCGAGUGGCGAACGGGUGAGUAACACGUGAGUAACCUGCACUUGACUUUGGGAUAAAUUCAGGAAACUGGGGCUAAUACCGGAUAGGAGCUCCUGCUGCAUGGUGGGGGUUGGAAAGUUUCGGCGGUUGGGGAUGGACUCGCGGCUUAUCAGCUGGUUGGUGGGGUAGUGGCUUACAAAGGCUUUGAAGGGUAGCCGGCCUGGGAGGGGGACCGGCCACAUGGGGACUGAGAUACGGCGCAGACGCCAACGGGAGGCAGCAGGGGGGAAUAUUGCACAAUGGGCGGAAGCCUGAUGCAGCAACGCCGCGAGCGUGAUGACGGCCUACUGGGUGUAAACCGCUUUCGCCUGUGACGAAGCGUGAGUGACGGUAAUGGGUAAAGAAGCAACGGCUAACUACGUG
rnacentral:rRNA from 1 species